ACUUCUUUUUGGCACUAUCAGAACAUUCUAUAAAAAGGUUGAAUAUGUGCUUGAAGAUUGUAAUGAGGUUCUCGUCAAAAUCAACAAAUUUGUCAUCAACAAGGAAGGCUUAGUAUGUGUGGAAACGUUGUGUAUGCCUGUUACUAAACCAGAAAGAUUUGAGUUGGAUGCUUUUGAGUUAGAUGAACCUGAAGAUGCUGGCAGGUAUAUAGUUAGAAAGAGCAUAAAGAGUGCAAAAGACAUAGUUCGUUUCCCUUUCCAACAGGAUGCCACCAUACUUUACUUAUUGCACACUGUGUACAGAGGCAGAGAGAAUCUCCCAUUACUUACUGUGCACUAUGUUGCCUUGAAAUUGUGGAAACUCCAAGGAUGUUAGAUGUACCUGAAUCUCAGGAUUUUGACAUUCCAAUUUUUAUUGAGAUAAAAUCCUUUUGGAAUCUCCCGAAACAAAUGAAGUGCCUCAUUUGAUGGAUGAGGAAACAAAUUCAUGUGGAACUAUAUAACCAAUCAGAAUUAUUAGCUGGCUUUGGAAAGUUGUCAGUUUGAUUAUUGCUUACAAGAUUGGCUUAUGAUGGUCUUCUUUAAUGAUGUACCGGAAAGUUGCAAGUUGCCUACUUCAGAGUUUUCUGUGUGCAAGAAAACAAAGAGAGGAGGACAUUGUAAACUUUUCACAAGUUUUUGUAGGCCAGGCACGGAAAGAAUC